GUGCUUGCUUCGGCAGCACAUAUACUAAAAUUGGAACAAUACAGAGAAGAUUAGCAUCGCUCCUACAUAAGGAUGACAUACAAAUUCAUGAAAAAAUCCAUAUUUUU
ensembl:snRNA U6 U6 spliceosomal RNA